AGGACGAACGCUGGCGGCGUGCUUAACACAUGCAAGUCGAGCGGAAAGGCCCUUCGGGGUACUCGAGCGGCGAACGGGUGAGUAACACGUGAGUAAUCUGCCCCUAGCUCUGGGAUAGCUCCGGGAAACCGGGAUUAAUACCAGAUACGACCACUUUAGACAUCUUCUGUGGUGGAAAGAACUUCGGCUAGGGAUGAACUCGCGGCCUAUCAGCUUGUUGGUGAGGUAACGGCUCACCAAGGCGACGACGGGUAGCCGGCCUGAGAGGGCGACCGGCCACACUGGGACUGAGACACGGCCCAGACUCCUACGGGAGGCAGCAGUGGGGAAUAUUGCGCAAUGGGCGAAAGCCUGACGCAGCGACGCCGCGUGGGGGAUGAAGGCCUUCGGUUGUAACCCUUUCAGCAGGACGAAGCGAAAGUGACGGUACCUGCAGAAGAAGCGCCGGCUAACUACGCACCAGCAGCCGC
rnacentral:rRNA from 1 species